rnacentral:ncRNA from 2 species
ACAUUUGUUCCGGAGCAAGGUUCCCCGCCGGCGGCUGCCGGCACGGGAUCAAAAGGGAACUCCUGUGAGAAUCAGGGGCUAUUCCCGUAGCUGUAAGCCUUGAUUGCGUUCCGCACUCUCUUGAGCCACUGUCCCCCGGGACGGGAAGGCGUGCGGAUGGGGCGAGCCAGAAGACCUGCCUUGCGAGCUGCGACAUC